GAUGAACGCUGGCGGCGUGCCUAAUACAUGCAAGUCGAGCGAACGGACGAGAAGCUUGCUUCUCUGGUGUUAGCGGCGGACGGGUGAGUAACACGUGGAUAACCUACCUAUAAGACUGGGAUAACUUCGGGAAACCGGAGCUAAUACCGGAUAAUAUUUUGAGCCGCAUGGUUCAAAAGUGAAAGACGGUCUUGCUGUCACUUAUAGAUGGAUCCGCGCUGCAUUAGCUAGUUGGUAAGGUAACGGCUUACCAAGGCAACGAUGCAUAGCCGACCUGAGAGGGGGAUCGGCCACACUGGAACGGAGACACGGUCCAGACUCCUACGGGAGGCAGCAGUAGGGAAUCUUCCGCAAUGGGGGAAAGCCUGACGGAGCAACGCCGCGUGAGUGAUGAAGGUCUUCGGAUCGUAAAACUCUGUUAUUAGGGAAGAACAUAUGUGUAAGUAACUGUGCACAUCUUGACGGUACCUAAUCAGAAAGCCACGGCUAACUACGUG
rnacentral:rRNA from 1 species